rnacentral:rRNA from 1 species
ACACACGUGUUACAAUGGGGGGUACAGAGGGCCGCUACCACGCGAGUGGAUGCCAAUCCCCAAAACCUCUCUCAGUUCGGACUGGAGUCUGCAACCCGACUCCACGAAGCUGGAUUCGCUAGUAAUCGCGCAUCAGCCACGGCGCGGUGAAUACGUUCCCGGGCCUUGUACACACCGCCCGUCAAGCCAUGGGAGCCGGGGGUACCUGAAGUGCGUAACCGCGAGGAGCGCCCUAGGGUAAAACUGGUGACUGGGGCUAAGUCGUAACAAGGUAAC